CUAUUUCAGCUCAAUCCAUUUUUCAUUUUAAUUCUUCAUGAUGACAUUGCUUAAUAAGCAAAAGUUAUAUAUACAUCUUAACAUUCAGGCAAGCACUUGAUAUUAAUAUUCCUUAGAUGUUCGCAGAAAGUAAACGUGCAUCCCACAUGAGGCAUCUCCAAGAUGGAUUAUUUCUGUAUUCUAAUUUUGUUGAAGAUGGGGAAAAACAAGUCGCAGGAGGUUUUCAAUUUUUUAACUGACAAGUUGUUCUCAAUCUGAUAGACUGGAAACUGCAUAUUUUGAUACCCUGAGUGUUCAAAAUCUCAUAAUAUGUUGCCAUCCUACUAUGGGUCCUCAGUUCCUCACUACCAAACUUGUUUUAUGAGUUCAUCAGGACAUUAUGAACGGAAACUAAAUGACUACUAGCAAGGUUUUUGCUUGAAUAAAAACUAAUAGAAACAUAUUCAUCUAUGUUCAUCAGCAUUUACCUGAUCAAUCUUGUAUCCAGAACCAUGAAUAACCUUCAUAACAUCAUUUAUCAUAUUGAUAUUACCGAGCUUCAUAAAUGCAUUUGCAAACUUCUUUAUAGCAGCUUGCGAAAUCAAUUCAGUAUUGU
rnacentral:misc_RNA from 1 species